rnacentral:rRNA from 1 species
UACGAAGGGGGCUAGCGUUGCUCGGAAUCACUGGGCGUAAAGCGCACGUAGGCGGGCUCUUAAGUCGGUGGUGAAAUCCUGGAGCUCAACUCCAGAACUGCCUCCGAUACUGAGAGUCUUCGAGUCCGGGAGAGGUGAGUGGAACUGCGAGUGUAGAGGUGAAAUUCGUAGAUAUCAAGCGGAACACCGGUGGCGAAGGCGGCCUUCUGGACAGUGACUGACGCUGAGACGCGAAAGCGUGGGGAGCAAACAGG